GGAGUUUUCGUGAGUGAGGUUAGAUCACCUGCGAAAGUAGAAGACCCCCAACGAAAGCAAAAGAAGAGAACCAUGCAAUUCAGCCAACAGGAGGACUAGAUAAUAUUCUAAAUAUUAGUGCUACCAUGCGAUGUUGCCUUUUGCUUCUCUCAAACUUCUUCCUCUCCUGUAGUCUAUCUCUGCAUCGGAGCUUGCCAAACCAUAGUCAUGUUUCCGACUUAAUCUUAAAGUUCCCAAUUUGGAGAAGAUACCUUCAUCAUCACUCAUAGCAUAAUUGGCAGGUUCAAUUUGCUUUGGAGACGUAUGAUCUUUCAUGCAAUUGUUUGCACCUGGUUUGCACAGCAGAGGAGAUGCCAUAUUAGAGAUAUUCCCUCCUUUUGUUCCCUCAGCUGUUGACAUAGUUAAUAUGAUUUCCUCUUCUCUGGGCUUAGUAAAAGGAGUCAUGCUAAAGGAUUCAUCUAAUGCGACAUCAGAAAUUUCCACAUAUU
rnacentral:misc_RNA from 1 species